UGGAAUUUCUACAUCGUCGAUUAAUAGUUGGAUACUCGGUUUUGUCAUGAAUAUACGUUUAAAAUAAGUAAACACUAAAAGUGCACACUGACAUUUGAUUACGAUACAUCUAACAAUUUGAGUCAUUACAGUAAAACAUGGAUUAUAAGUGAAUUAUACGCGUAAGAGAAGAUUUUCUGUCGAAACAACUAAUGUCAACAAUCAGCAUGGAAUUGGGAUAUUCGUAUCAAAGGGCCAUUCAUGCAGGAAAAGGACUGAAUAUUACUAUUAUAUGAAGAAUUCCAGCCUGCAUUAAAUACUUUGUUGGAUCAUUGAGACAGAUUUGACAUCCAUGUCUAUCCACAUCUGAUAGAGAUGAUCACUAAACAUUCUAGAUGGGUAAAGACCUGUUAAAUCAGCAUUGACUCAGCAUUGAGUAAUUUUCAUCUGUACAGACACUACAAGUACAAACGCAUGGGAACAAACCAAACUUCAAAUGUUGAAGAGUGAAGAAUUAUUGUGAAAAGUUCUAAAUGUUAGAAUACCAUUGACUAAAUAAAACAAAUAGACAUCGAUUACCAACAGAGACUGUUUACAUGUUAUAAUAUUCAAAAGACAUUAGUUGAGAACUUUCACUCUGACAUUUUUGGAGGGGCAUUACCGCCUACUUAGUGUUCUUGUUUCUUUACAUAUUUUAAUUUAAAAGUACAUUCAUUGUUUUUAAAUCUGAAUUCUGAGUUAGUAUCAUAAGUAAAAUUCAUUUUUGAAUGAUUACAUUUUAUGAAUAAGUCCAAUUGAGCUUUUUACAAGAAAAAGGUUGAUUUUUAAGCAUUUUAUUAGUUAUAAAAAUGUAUAGUUACAUGACAUUAUGUAUAUUUUCUUCAAAACUGAACGGUAAACUAUCAUAAAUUGUCUUUUGAAUUGUUCAUUAGACAUCAUAGAAAAUAUUUAAAUGAUUUCAGCAGGUUGUCUUAUUAUUAACUAUUUUUUAUGAAUUUAUAAAACUGCUAUAUAUUUUCAAACAUCGAAAUACUGCUCUGUUCCGAAGACUCACAAGAUCAAUCAAAAUGAUUUUUUUCCAUGUGUAUCAAUAAUAUGUUCGGUUGAACGUAAUUUUUCUGUUAACUGAAGUUUAUUUUACCAGAAACUGUUGUGUUUAUUUCAUAAUCUCUGAUAAUGUGAAAAAAAAUCAAAUAAAGACAAAAUAUUUUUAAUUAACAGUAAAAAAUCUUCAAAAUUUGGAUAAAAGUCCCAUAACGUACCAUGAUAAUAACUAUGUUGUCCGUAAAAGCUUAUAAAAGUGUGUUUUACUUAUACCUUAAUUCAGUUCAAAUAAUUAUGGCCUUUAAGGAUUUGUGUUUUCAUAAUAUAGAUUUCCUGUUAUAUUGAGCUUUGUCAAUUUGUGUUGAUGUUUUGAUUUAUGUACAAUUACUACUUCUAUUUCCUAACUUUUGUCUCAUUUGUCAAAUUGAAUUGUUACAUAUUUAAGUGAAAAAACACACACACUAUUUUUAAAGAUGCACUCUUACUCCCCAAUAAGACUUAUGAUAAUUAAUAUUAUUGUUUUCAUUUUUCAAAAUGGGUUGAUAGAUGUCAACAACAAUGUUUCUAAUGAAGGAUCUUGAGUUCAAUUUGCUAAUAAGAAUGAACUUAAAACAUGGUAUUUCUGCCUUACAUAUUUAAGUGAAAAAACACACACACUAUUUUUAAAGAUGCACUCUUACUCCCCAAUAAGACUUAUGAUAAUUAAUAUUAUUGUUUUCAUUUUUCAAAAUGGGUUGAUAGAUGUCAACAACAAUGUUUCUAAUGAAGGAUCUUGAGUUCAAUUUGCUAAUAAGAAUGAACUUAAAACAUGGUAUUUCUGCCUUGUGAUACUAUAGUAGACCACAGUAAAUCUUUUCCCGGGUCUGUUUAAAAUAAGAAAGGAAAAUAACACAACACCUACCCAAACAUACAAUCAUUGACACCCUUAUAGUAUAUACAACAUACUCAAUUAACACAUCCCUGGCCUACCAGUUUAAAUUGAUGGGAUCCAAUAUUUAUUUGAGAGCUGGCUGAAGUUUCAACCAGUGAAAAAUAUCUCAAUAUGUUUGAAACAGUGAAAGGUUGUUUUUAUUGUUUAUAAA